rnacentral:rRNA from 1 species
GACGAACGCUGGCGGCGUGCCUAAUACAUGCAAGUAGAACGCUGAAGGAGGAGCUUGCUCUUCUGGAUGAGUUGCGAACGGGUGAGUAACGCGUAGGUAACCUGCCUGGUAGCGGGGGAUAACUAUUGGAAACGAUAGCUAAUACCGCAUAAGAGUAGAUGUUGCAUGACAUUUGCUUAAAAGGUGCAAUUGCAUCACUACCAGAUGGCCCUGCGUUGUAUUAGCUAGUUGGUGGGGUAACGGCUCACCAAGGCGACGAUACAUAGCCGACCUGAGAGGGUGAUCGGCCACACUGGGACUGAGACACGGCCCAGACUCCUACGGGAGGCAGCAGGAGGGAAUCUUCGGCAAUGGACGGAAGUCUGACCGAGCAACGCCGCGUGAGUGAAGAAGGGUUUCGGAUCGUAAAGCUCUGUUGUAAGAGAAGAAAGAGUGUGAGAGUGGAAAGUUCACACUGUGACGGUAUCUAACCAGAAAGGGACGGCUAACUACGUG